AGUACCAUUACUGGGUCAUAUGGUAAGUUUUUUUUGCCUUUAAAAGGAACUGCCAAACUAUUUUCCAGACUGGCUGUACCAUUUUACAUUCCCACCAGCAAU
rnacentral:pre_miRNA from 1 species